AGGUGGGGGGCAGGGGGUCUGUCCAGUGAUUCCAGCCACAUGUUAUAGAUGACCAGUGAUGCUUUCCUUAGGAUCUGUACAGCAGUGUAAAGCAUGCACACUGGUAGUGGUUGACUUGAUCAAAUUCUGGCUUCGUGAACCGGAAUGAAAACGCACAUAACUCUUUUGGAAAACUUGGUGGGUAAAGUGCCUUGUGUGAUUGUGGAACAAAGACGUUUUCUAAUCAGAUUUAUCAAGCUGCAAAGAGGGAGUUUUAGCAAACGAACGGAAACAGCAACGUUCUGUCACCAGGAAAUACUGCUUUAUCCAGAAUUGGUGUCAAGUAUUUAUUUAAUUAGAACUUUGCAAAAUGAAAGUUGAAGUAAUACUUCGGAAGUCAAAGCGGCAACAUCUCCAGAUGGUAUGAAGGCAGACGAUGAUGGUAAUAGUUUUUUCCUUUUUUUUACAUGUUGGUGUCAUGGAAUUUAAGAUAGUUCUAGUGAUUACAUUAU